rnacentral:lncRNA from 1 species
AUGAGGCGGUCGCUUUAUUUCGUAAUUUUAUCUUGUCUUAACCUAUGGUUUCGCACUUUCUCACUUUAGUAUUCUAUUAUUUCAAUUGUAUCAAGCUAGUACCCUAUAGUUUCGCACUUUCUCAUUUUAGUACCUUAUGAUUUCAAGUGUAUCAAGUUAGUACCAUGUGCUUUUAUUUUUAUAUCAAGCACAAGUUAGUAUUCUAUGGUUUCAAUUUUCUCCUUUUAUUAUCUAUUUCGGGAUAUAUAAUUUAACGAAAUAUUAAAUCAUAGUGUACAAAAGUGAAAAAGUGCGAAAUUAUAGGGUACUAAUUUGAUAUAUUUUAAAUUAUAAGAUAUUAGAGUAAGAAAGUGCAAAAUUACAGUUGGAUAUUUGAAGUUGUUGUCUAAAUUAAAUAAAUCUUUUCAGCUUG